CCCUUAGAUGCUCUGGGCCGCACGCGCGCUACACUGAACAGUUCAACAAGUCUUAACCUUGGCCGAUAGGUCUGGGUAAUCUUUGAACGCUGUUCGUGAUUGGGAUAGACCUUUGCAAUUAUGGGUCUUCAACGAGGAAUUCCUAGUAAACGCAAGUCAUCAGCUUGCAUUGAUUACGUCCCUGCCCUUUGUACACACCGCCCGUCGCACCUACCGAUUGAAUGGUCCGGUGAAAUCUCGGGACGGCGGCUUGGUCGCUUGCGUCCGACUGCUGAAACUUGAUUAAACCAUAUCAUUUAGAGGAAGGUGAANUCGUAACA
rnacentral:rRNA from 1 species